UUCCUGGAUGCUUGUAUGUUUGAAGGGG
rnacentral:piRNA from 1 species